AGCCAGUGAGACUGCGGGGGAUAAGCUCCGUAGUCAAAAGGGAAACAGCCCAGACCACCAGCUAAGGCUCCUAAAUAAAAGCUAAGUGGCAAAGGAGGUGAAAGUGCAGUGACAAUCAGGAGGUUUGCCUAGAAGCAGCCACCCUCUAAGGAGUGCGUAAUAGCUCACUGAUCAAGCGCUUUUGUGCCGAAAAUGACCGGAACUAAGUUUUUUGCCGAAGCUGUGGCUACAUCACACAGAUGAUGUAGGGUAGAGGAGCGUUCCGCCCAGGGGGAAGCCAAGCGCGUAAGCCGCGGUGGACAGGGCGGAAGUGAGAAUGUCAGCUUGAGUAACGCAAACAUUGGUGAGAAUCCAGUGCCCCGAAAACUCAAGGGUUCCUGCGCAAGGCUCGUCCGCGCAGGGUCAGUCAGGACCUAAGGUGAGGCCGAAAGGCGUAAUUGAUGGCAAGAAGGUUUAUAUUCCUUCACUAGUCUAGGCUUAGUCCUGAGGGACGAACAAAUAACACUCGGCACAAUGGCCUUCCAUGGUAGGAAGGGUCAAACCAUUGUUGUUUGAUGGUAUUUUUUCCAAGAAAAGCUCAUUCGACUUUGAGUCUAGACUACCUGUACCGUAAACCGACACAGGUGAGUGGGUUGAAUAAACUAAGGGGAGCGAGAUAACUCUCUCUAAGGAACUCGGCAAAUUGGCUCUGUACCUUCGGAAGAAAGAGUGCCCCUCAGGGGGCCGCAGUGAAGAGAUCCAGGCGACUGUUUACCAAAAACACAGGUCUCCGCAAAGUCGUAAGACGACGUAUGGGGGCUGACACCUGCCCAGUGCCAGAAGGUUAAAGAAGUUGGUCAAUCUAUGAUGAAGCUAACGACUGAAGCCCUGGUGAACGGCGGCAGUAACUAUAACUGUCCUAAGGUAGCGAAAUUCCUUGUCGGGUAAGUUCCGACCCGCACGAAAGGUGUAACGAUCUGCGUACUGUCUCGGAGAGAGACUCGGCGAAAUAGACUUGUCUGUGAAGAUGCGGACUACCUGCACCUGGACAAAAAGACCCUAUGAAGCUUUACUGUAACUUGAAAUUGAAAUUGGACUUUAUUCGCGCAGCAUAGGUGGGAGGCGUUGAUUGUAAUCUCGCGGGAUUAUUGGAGCCAUCAGUGAGAUACCACUCUUGUAAUGUUAGAUUUCUAACUUUGAAUCAUUAUCUGGUCAAAGAACAGUUUCAGGCGGGCAGUUUGACUGGGGCGGUCGCCUCCUAAAUGGUAACGGAGGCGUACAAAGGUUUCCUCUGAACGGGUAGAAAUCGUAUCUAGAGUGUAAAGGCAUAAGGAAGCUUGACUGUGAGACCUACAAGUCAAACAGGGACGAAAGUCGGUCUUAGUGAUCUGACGGUACUGAGUGGAAAGGCCGUCACUCAACGGAUAAAAGUUACUCUAGGGAUAACAGGCUGAUCUCCCCCAAGAGUUCACAUCGACGGGGAGGUUUGGCACCUCGAUGUCGGCUCGUCACAUCCUGGGGCUGGAGAAGGUCCCAAGGGUUGGGCUGUUCGCCCAUUAAAGUGGCACGCGAGCUGGGUUCAGAACGUCGUGAGACAGUUCGGUCCCUAUCUGCUGUGGGCGUUAGAAAUUUGCGUGGAUCUGACUCUAGUACGAGAGGACCGAGUUGGACUGACCUCUAGUGUACCUGUUGUUUCGCCAGAAGCAUAGCAGGGUAGCCACGUCGGGAAGGGAUAAGCGCUGAAAGCAUAUAAGCGCGAAACUCACUUCAAGAUAAGAUUUCUUUUAAGGGUCGUUAUAGACGAUGACGUUGAUAGGUCACAAGUGUAAGUGUAGAGAUACAUUCAGCUGAGUGAUACUAAUUACCCGUAGACUUUGAGAU
rnacentral:rRNA from 1 species